GCCAGGUGUGGCGGCAUGCACCUGUAGUCCCAGCUACUUGGGAAGCUGAGGUGGGUGGAUGGCUUGAGCCCAGGAGUUCUGUGCGACAUCAAUCACAUAUUCGCGAUAAGUUCAGCAUCAAUAUGGUGACCUCCUGGGAGCAAGGGAUCACCAGGUUGCCCAAGUAGGGGUGAACUGGCCCAGGGAAGAAGUGGAGCAGGCCAAAACUCCAGUGAUGAUCAGUAGUGGGAUCACACCUGUGAAUAGCCACUGCAUUCCAGCCUGGACAACAUGGUAUCUUAUUUAA
ensembl:misc_RNA Metazoa_SRP Metazoan signal recognition particle RNA